ACGCGCGUUCCCAUUUUGUUGGUUUCUGAGAUCGCCGUAAUGAUUAAUAGGGAUAGUUGGGGGCAUUUGUAUUCCGUCGUCAGAGGUGAAAUUCUUGGAUUGCCGGAAGACAAACUACUGCGAAAGCAUUUGCCAAGGAUGUUUUCAUUGAUCAAGAACGAAGGAAGGGGGAUCGAAAACGAUUAGAUACCAUUGUAGUCUCUUCUGUAAACUAUGCCAAUUGGGGAUCGGCGCAGGAUUUUUAAUGACUGCGUCGGCACCCGAAGAGAAAUCUUUAAAUGAGGUUCGGGGGGGAGUAUGGUCGCAAGGCUGAAACUUAAAGGAAUUGACGGAAGGGCACCACCAGGUGUGGAGCCUGCGGCUUAAUUUGACUCAACACGGGGAAACUCACCAGGUCCAGACACAAUAAGGAUUGACAGAUUGAUAGCUCUUUCUUGAUCUUGUGGUUGGUGGUGCAUGGCCGUUCUUAGUUGGUGGAGUGAUUUGUCUGGUUAAUUCCGAUAACGAACGAGACCUUAACCUGCUAAAUAGACCAGCCGGCUUUGGCUGGCUGCUGUCUUCUUAGAGGGACUAUCAGCGUUUAGCUGAUGGAAGUUUGAGGCAAUAACAGGUCUGUGAUGCCCUUAGAUGUUCUGGGCCGCACGCGCGCUACACUGACAGAGCCAGCGAGUCUACCACCUUUGCCGGAAGGCAUGGGUAAUCUUGU
rnacentral:rRNA from 1 species